rnacentral:rRNA from 1 species
GCUCGUGUCGUGAGAUGUGGUUAAGUCCGCAACGAGCGCAACCCUUGUCAUUAGUUGCCAUCAUUUAGUUUGGGCACUCUAAUGAGACUGCCGGUGACAAACCGGAGGAAGGUGGGGAUGACGUCAAGUCCUCAUGGCCCUUAUGGGUAGGGCUUCACACGUCAUACAAUGGUCGGUACAGAGGGUUGCCAAGCCGCGAGGUGGAGCCAAUCCCAGAAAGCCGCUCUCAGUUCGGAUUGCAGGCUGCAACUCGCCUGCAUGAAGCCGGAAUCGCUAGUAAUCGCGGAUCAGCAUGCCGCGGUGAAUACGUUCCCGGGCCUU